GUGGGAGAUGGAGUCCCGACACUUAUUUCUCUAUACGCACAAUUCUUCCCCUCCUUUUCCGAUUGUUCCCAGCGUUCAGACGGGAAGGGUAUUCUGGGUAUUGUAGUUUACAGUGCACUGUCUUAGCGAAUCAGUCUUGGGGUUAUGGCUUUGUGUUUGUAGGGACAGACGAAGGCUCUAGAUUUAUUUUCAUGUCGGUUAAGCUUUAGCAUUUUGCAGGAAGCACUUUCUAUCAUGAUUUGAAAUUGUUACUGAGUUUUAUGUGUUCUUCAAAAGAUGAUGUUUAUUAUUCGAUAAACUUAGAAUUUUAAUUGAGAGUUACAGUCCGUUAAAAUUGUUACAAAUGUGUUCUGUGUGAACCACCUGCAUUAAAAUCACUUGAAAGGUAUGGAAGAAUGUAUAUACUUUUUCUAUAUAAUUGGGAAUUAUAUGUUUUCCCUAGAAACACUGUCAUAAAUAGGCAUAGAAAUGUGAUCUAGACCAGCCCAGAAGAAGCCUAUUUAAUGCAUAAUGAAGCUAUGUUGUUGCCAUGAAAAACAUAACUGCUAUAAUGCCACAUAAACUGUUAUAAUGUAACAGUUUAGAAGAGAUAGACAAUACAACUUGGGUAAAAACAAGUAACUAUAUGUCUUUAAGAAACUUUAUCUUUUGAGUAAAAAUAUGUUACAAGAGUUGGAUAAAGACAGAUGAAUUCUUAUAACUUGAUGGAUCGUUACAGUUGAAUUACUGCAACUUUCCUGAUAAGGACAACUUUUGGACUCAUGAAUAAAAUGAAGGGAAAGACAGUGGAAUUGCAUUUUGCUAAGGUGAAAGUGGGGAUUAAUCAACAAGGACAUCUUGGAGGAGGAUGUUGCAGAUCCCGUAAUGUGCCAGAAUGAAUUUUAAGUUGGAAGCUGGAGACUGAAAUGACUGAGAGCCAGGACAGGUUAGCCUCCUAAAAUACCCUGUCUGGAGUGCUUCACUGUGGCUAAGGGUUGCUAAUAAGAUAAAUGUAGCACUAAAGCUAUAAAAUUAAAGAUAGUACUUGCUA